rnacentral:rRNA from 1 species
AUUGAACGCUGGCGGCAUGCUUUACACAUGCAAGUCGGACGGCAGCACAGAGAAGCUUGCUUCUUGGGUGGCGAGUGGCGAACGGGUGAGUAAUAUAUCGGAACGUACCGAGUAAUGGGGGAUAACUAAUCGAAAGAUUAGCUAAUACCGCAUAUUCUCUGAGGAGGAAAGCAGGGGACCUUCGGGCCUUGCGUUAUUCGAGCGGCCGAUAUCUGAUUAGCUAGUUGGUGGGGUAAAGGCCUACCAAGGCGACGAUCAGUAGCGGGUCUGAGAGGAUGAUCCGCCACACUGGGACUGAGACACGGCCCAGACUCCUACGGGAGGCAGCAGUGGGGAAUUUUGGACAAUGGGCGCAAGCCUGAUCCAGCCAUGCCGCGUGUCUGAAGAAGGCCUUCGGGUUGUAAAGGACUUUUGUCAGGGAAGAAAAGGCUGUUGCUAAUAUCGACAGCUGAUGACGGUACCUGAAGAAUAAGCACCGGCUA